rnacentral:miRNA from 1 species
GUGUGUGUGUGUGUGUGUGUGUGUGUGUGCCAGAGAACACACACACACACACACACUACUUAUUCCUACAAAUA